UUAGAGUUGGGUAUGAUAGCU
rnacentral:siRNA from 1 species